UCUCCGUAGGUGAACCUGCGGAGGGAUCAUUAACGAGUACGGGGCCCGAGAGGGCCCCCCAACUCCCACCCCAUGUCGUCGACCAAUUCGUUGCCUCGGCGGGGCCAGCGGCCCCCGUGGCCCGGGCUCCGGCCCACCCGCCGACGGACAAACCAAACCAUGUCUCCAACCACGCGGUCUGAGCAGAUUAUUAAAAUAAAUCAAAACUUUCAACAACGGAUCUCUUGGUUCUGGCAUCGAUGAAGAACGCAGC
rnacentral:misc_RNA from 1 species